AAACCAACAGGGAUUGCCUCAGUAACGGCGAGCGAAGCGGCAAAAGCUCAAAUUUGAAAUCUGGCACCUUUGGUGUCCGAGUUGUAAUUUGAAGAUUGUAACUUUGGAAACGGCUCUUGCAUAUGUUCCUUGGAAUAGGACGUCAUAGAGGGUGAGAACCCCGUAUAUGGUGAGAUGCCCGUUUCCGUGUAAAGUGCUAUCUAAGAGUCGAGUUGUUUGGGAAUGCAGCUCUAAGUGGGUGGUAAAUUCCAUCUAAGGCUAAAUAUUGGCGAGAGACCGAUAGCGAACAAGUACAGUGAUGGAAAGAUGAAAAGAACUUUGAAAAGAGAGUGAAAAAGUACGUGAAAUUGUUGAAAGGGAAGGGCUUGAAAUCAGACUUGGCUUGUAGUGAUCAACUGUCUUUCGGGACUGUGCACUCGCUACUUGCUAGGCCAGCAUCAGUUUUGGCGGUAGGAUAAUGACAGUUGAACGUGGCCCUGCUUCGGUGGGGUGUUAUAGCUUCUGUUGAUACUACCAGCUGGGACUGAGGACUGCGUCUUUUGACUAGGAUGCUGGCGUAAUGAUUUUAAGCCACC
rnacentral:rRNA from 1 species